rnacentral:rRNA from 1 species
UACAGAGGGUGCAAGCGUUAAUCGGAAUUACUGGGCGUAAAGCGUGCGUAGACGGUUAUGUAAGUCAGGUGUGAAAGCCCCGGGCUCAACCUGGGAAUGGCAUUUGGGACUGCAAGGCUCGAGUGCGGCAGAGGAGACUGGAAUUCCUGGUGUAGCAGUGAAAUGCGUAGAUAUCAGGAGGAACACCGAUGGCGAAGGCAGGUCUCUGGGCUGACACUGACGCUCAUGCACGAAAGCGUGGGGAGCAAACAGG